AAGGGAGACCUAAUUCCGGUAGGAGACGAAAAAAAAGUAGUCCCAACCAAGAAUCAAUCCCAAAAGGUCGGAACGAGGUAUGAGGCUUUCAAACUAGGUUCUGGGUUCAUAAAAGACCUGAAUCAGGAACAAGGGCUAUUAGCUCAGGUGGUUGGAGCGCACCCCUGAUAAGGGUGAGGUCCCUGGUUCGAGUCCAGGAUGGCCCACCUGCACAGGUGGCAAAAACAAGAGAAGCUCCGAAUCAGCACCUUAUCUUAUAUACAUAUAUAAGAGAGAAUGCUGGCUCUGAGUACAGAGUCCAGAGGAACCUUGAAAACUGCAUAGAGCUAGGUGAAAAAGCCAAAAAAGAAGACCGCAA
rnacentral:tRNA from 1 species